rnacentral:rRNA from 1 species
AUUGAACGCUGGCGGCAUGCCUUACACAUGCAAGUCGAACGGCAGCGGACCUUCGGGUGCCGGCGAGUGGCGAACGGGUGAGUAAUGCAUCGGAACGUGCCAUUGAGUGGGGGAUAACGUAGCGAAAGUUGCGCUAAUACCGCAUAUUCUGUGAGCAGGAAAGCAGGGGGACCGCAAGGCCUUGCGCUCUUUGAGCGGCCGAUGUCAGAUUAGCUAGUUGGUGAGGUAACGGCUUACCAAGGCGACGAUCUGUAGCGGGUCUGAGAGGAUGAUCCGCCACACUGGAACUGAGACACGGUCCAGACUCCUACGGGAGGCAGCAGUGGGGAAUUUUGGACAAUGGGGGCAACCCUGAUCCAGCCAUGCCGCGUGAGUGAAGAAGGCCU